rnacentral:rRNA from 1 species
GCUUUGGAAGAAGCUAGCCAAUUGUCUUCGGAGAUGGUUAAGCUAUGAUUAGAAUUGUUUAGGCAUUGCUUGUGUGUGCACGGUCCGUCUGUGGUGUGCACCGGUCGGCUCAUCCUUUCUACUGGCUAUACAUUCAUGAACUUAAUUGAAUGGGUCGUGCCUUCGAUGCUGUUACUUUGAAGAAAUUAGAGUUCUCAAAGCAAGCAUAUGCUCUGGAUACAUUAGCAUGUGAUAACAUCAUAGGAUUUUGGUCCUAUUAUAUUGGUCUUUGGGAUCGGAGUAAUGAUUAACAUGGAAAGUAUGAGGCAUUCGUAUUUCAUAGUGAGAGGUGAAAUUCUUGGAUUUAUGAAAGAUGAACAUCUAUGGAAGCAUUUACCAAGAAUGUUUUCAUUAAUCAAGAACAAAAGUUGGGGGCUUGAAGAUGAUUAGAUAACAUCCAAGUCUCAACCACAAACGACGUCAACCAUGGAUCGUCGGAUGUUACUUUAGGACUCCGCUUGCACCUUAUGAGAAAUCAAAGUUUUUGGGUUCCCGGGGGAGUAUGGUCGCAAGGCUAAAACUUAAAGGAAUUGACGGAAGGGCACCACUAUGAGUGGAGUCUGCUGCUUAAUUUGACUCAACACGAGGAAACUAACCAAGUCAAGAUAUAGUAAGGAUUAACAGACUGAGAGCUCUUUCUUUAUUUUAUAGGUGGUGAUGCAUGAUCGUUCUUAGUUGGUGGAGCGAUUUGUCUAGUUCAUUCCAUUAAUGAACGAGACCUCAGUCUGCUAACUAGCUAUAAGGAGGAUCCCUCCGCGGCUAGCUUCUUAAAGGGACUAUGGUCGCCUAGGCUAAGUAAGUUUUAGGCAAUAAUUGGUCUGUGAUGCCCUUAGAUGUUCUGAACCGCACACGUGCUGCACUGAUGUAUUCAACGAGUCUAUUGCCUUGGUCGACAUGUCAGGGUAAUAUUUGAAAUUUCAUCGUGAUGGGGAUAGAUAAUUGCAAUCAUUGGUCUUCAAUAAGAAAUUCCUAUUAAACGCGAGUCAUCUACAAGCGUUGACUACGUCCUUGUCCUUUGUACACACCGCUCGUCGCUCCUACCGAUUGAAUGGUCCGUUGAAGUGUUCAGAUCACAACGACGUAAGUUGUUUGCUACCAGCCAUGUCAUGAGAAGUCCAAUGAACCUUAUCAUUUAGAGGAAGGAGAAGUCAUAACAAGGUUUCCAUAUGUGAACAUCCGAAAGGAUCAUUG